AGUCGAGCGAACAGAUAAGGAGCUUGCUCCUUUGACGUUAGCGGCGGACGGGUGAGUAACACGUGGGUAACCUACCUAUAAGACUGGGAUAACUUCGGGAAACCGGAGCUAAUACCGGAUAACAUUUGGAACCGCAUGGUUCUAAAGUGAAAGAUGGUUUUGCUAUCACUUAUAGAUGGACCCGCGCCGUAUUAGCUAGUUGGUAAGGUAACGGCUUACCAAGGCAACGAUACGUAGCCGACCUGAGAGGGUGAUCGGCCACACUGGAACUGAGACACGGUCCAGACUCCUACGGGAGGCAGCAGUAGGGAAUCUUCCGCAAUGGGCGAAAGCCUGACGGAGCAACGCCGCGUGAGUGAUGAAGGGUUUCGGCUCGUAAAACUCUGUUAUUAGGGAAGAACAAAUGUGUAAGUAACUGUGCACAUCUUGACGGUACCUAAUCAGAAAGCCACGGCUAACUACGUGCCAGCAGCCGCGGUAAUACGUAGGUGGCAAGCGUUAUCCGGAAUUAUUGGGCGUAAAGCGCGCGUAGGCGGUUUCUUAAGUCUGAUGUGAAAGCCCACGGCUCAACCGUGGAGGGUCAUUGGAAACUGGGAAACUUGAGUGCAGAAGAGGAAAGUGGAAUUCCAUGUGUAGCGGUGAAAUGCGCAGAGAUAUGGGAGGAACACCAGUGGCGAAAGCGACUUUCUGGUCUGUAACUGACGCUGAUGUGCGAAAGGUGGGGAUCAAAAAGGAGUAUAUACCCUGGGGUCCACCCAGAAACGACGAAUGUGACAUGUGAGGGGGUACUCCCCCUUCUGCUGCGGCAUA
rnacentral:rRNA from 1 species